AUGAACAAUGGUGAUUGGUACCAGCCCACGAUGGGAUCUGGGGUGGAAAGAAGACAUUGGCCAAGGCGGGCAGGCCUCUGGCUAAUGGCCGAGGUCUGGUUAGUCAUGGGCAGCGGCUGGGGUGAUACAUCGGCAACUUUGGUCACCGAGUAUGUGGAUAGAGAGCAGAAAGGGAGGGACGGAGUAGGAAAAAAGUGCUUCAGGUGGGGUAUUUGGGUGAGCCAGCGAUGUCGAAUAUGUAGGUGGCGGAUGUCCAGGCUCCCCCAAACCUCCACUAGGUCUGGGGCCGAUUUGUUAGAUUUUCAUUGCCUAGACCAGUCCAUACAAAUUUGA
rnacentral:rRNA from 1 species